GCUUACGGCCAUACAUCCAUUUCUGCGCCCGAUCUCGGAAGCUAAGCAGGGUCGAGUCUGAUUAGUACUUGGAUGGGAGACCGCCUGGGAAUACCAGGUGCUGUAAGCU
rnacentral:rRNA from 1 species